UGUAAGAUGUGGAGACGCGUGCAGUGCUACAGGUCGUGUGCUUGAUGCUGCCCAAGUGAAUGUUUCACUUCGUUUUCACCGCAAAAUGAGCUUAAAGUGCGUCGUGUAUGAGCUGCCCUGGCUGACGUGGUAGCGGACUUUGUCACUGGGAGUUCUACCCGGCUUCAGCCCGAUGCGGGAUCACACACAUAGCACCCGAACGCCGGAAUUCACGAAAGUUUUUGUAUAAAAUGUUUAUUUUAUUUAUCAAUUACCUAUAUAUAUCGAACUUUCUUGUUAUCCCCUUCAGAUUCGAUAUAUCUGGGUUCGACUAUACAACGGAAUGUCACGAAUUCAUUGGUUUCAGGUGAAAAAAAAGCUCCUGAUUAUAGUGUAUGCACAGAAAUUCUUUUGUUAAAAAAGAUAAUUUCCAGACCUUCAUAUGCUAGAACUGAGUUGUAAUUCCUGCUGGCAUACUAAUUUGAUGCUUCCUUUAAUGAGAGUAGACCGUACUGAAUAUCUUGAUUUCUAUGUACAUAAGUUUACUAAUAGCGCGCUACAUUCUUGUUAUGCAAUGCUAGGAGAUUCCCGAGCAUGUGCAGCAACCGUGUUUUCUUGCCUAAAUUUGUAAGCAAUAAAUUUUGUGAAACUUUUUCUUGAUUCAAUUCGAUAUUUGAUUCGAAGUUUACUAUUCGGUAUUCACACACCCCUAAUUAACACUCAUCUCCCUCUUUGGGAUGUUCUCCAACCCAGUGGCAUCAGCAGCCUGGUGAUCACCAAGAACGAGUCCAACUUCACCACCACCACGAGCACAGUGGGCGACCUGAAGUCCCUCGAACUGGACGAUUUGCUGCCUGCCGACCACGAGGUACUGGCUGACAAGCUGCGCUCCGAGUGCAAGAUUGAGGUGGUUCGCGAGAAGCGGACUGUCGUCGUCGUUCGGGAGGAGACGCUCGUUAAUGGGGGCUCCCCUACAAAUUGAACCAGCCUUCAUCAGCUAGCACCCGCCGCUUGGAACUGUAUCGUUUUUCACACCAUGCGCAUUUGUUUUCAUUUAUUUUGUUUUUCUUCCUCUCCACAUAAUUGUUUUCACAUUGCAGCUAGUUCCUCUUAGCAACAGGCGUUUCUUUUUAUUUAAUUUCCCUGUUAGUUGUUGGUCUCCACGUUUUUAGCCAUUGUUUUUCUUGUGCGUAUUUUUUUUUUUUUUCGGUUUAAGGAACAAAGCACAGUCCCACCACCCACACACACAUUAAUGCAUGUUAGCUUGUGGCUGUGCACCCCUAGCAUGUGGGUGCGCACAUCCAGCAUCGUAGAAGAGGAGGAAUAAGUGCGAGAGAGAACAGGAGUGAGGGGCAGCUGCGUUGUACAGUUUUGGCUACAAAAGUUCGCGGGACAUGGGAUUCGCUAAAAAAGCCAAGUUAUUGCGAAGUCUGGGCAAAUUGCCUCGUGCCUAAACGCCGCAGAAAUCUGCGUUGGCUACGGAAACUCGUGACCCGUAAACUUUCUUGGCCGACUGUACGUCUUUGCGUUUUCAUCCUCCUCGCAAGGGAAGGAUCAGAAGGAACGCGUCUGUUUUUAUGUGUUUACUUUGCCGAUAGAUUAUACGUCCUUCCCCCACACUUUUCUAGGCACAUGCAUCGCCGCUACAUGACCGAAAGAGGGGGAGAAUAGAUCUUUCCUUGUUCUUACAGUCUGCGAAAUGCACAAUGUGCUUUUUUUGUCGUCGGCGGCAAGGAGUAUACUGGUGACUUCGCUGGUCGGCUGAAUUUGUGUAGUGGUGCUUGGAUAGGGUCUUGGAUAUUCGGAGGCUCCGAAGGAACGGCGGACUUUAGGAGCACUGGCAGAACCACCAUUCGGAUCAGCGAUAGGCCUUGGCUUCGCACGAAGGAACAUGUACUUUUUUUAUUAUGAAUGCGGGGAGUAGACGAGGCAAUCCGUUAUAUCCUCUGCUUUUUCCCCAGGGUAGACAGCCAGGGCUGUUUUACCCUUGUUGAUGCUGCGCUGGCAGAAACAAUAUCGGUGAAAUAGUGUAACGUGGGAAGAGGAACGUGAACGGCACUGCUGUUUCACAUUUUGCCCCGCUGGGAUUGCCAGGAUACUCGAACCACGUCGCCUUGAUUUGAUUGACACCUGUCAGUAUUGCAUCAUUCCAAGUUUGGCGGUCGAUACUGCAAGCACCACAAGUGCCUUUACCUCGGCACAAUUGCAGCAGCUCUCUGUGUUCUUGUCAUGCUCUAGCGUGACAGGCACGAGUCUCAUCGAUGCAAAAAGGUUCUUGCUUCGCUUUUCUCGAAGCCACCUUUGUUGAGGCAUUGUCGACGCGGGAAGAGAUUUCGGAGUAGCUUUUCCCGCCUUGUAUAACUUGGUUACUGUGGGCACAGCCCACUACCCUGCUUGUAACUACUGGCAGGGGUAAAAGAAAUGUAAGCCAGACAUUUUAAAUGGCAGGCAGUGAAAUAAGGUAGUGGCUGAGGUAGGUAAGAUAUUAAGUGGUGGUCGAUUUUAACCUCCAGAACAGCACUCUUCUUCCGCCAACAGAAUUUUUAAUGACCUGCACUGGGGGGUUAUCUAGCCUGCCUUGACCAGUCUCCUCUUGUUCUUUAGUUCGAACGGUGUCAUUUGCAUUUCAUUUUUUUUUGCAGUAGUGCCUGUAACUGUCAUUCUCUUUGGUUGACGUGUUGGAGAAAACGCCGCAAUCUUAUGUUUAACCACGCGUCGUCAAGAGACGUUGGCACUACAUUGAGACAGGUAUGUGCUAUGCAUUGAGGCCACAGAGCGAGGCUGUGCAAGGUGUUGCACAUAUUGGGGCUACAGUUAUCGCUUCCUCUUUUACCUUUAUUUAUUUGUGGGCCUCGUUUUUCUCGUUUCUCUGAUGUAAGGCAUACCUUUGCUUCGUCGGCAUUUGCGAAAGAGAUGAGAGAUUUCUGUGUGAACUGGGGUAUGUUGCAGCUUGCUGAAUGCCGUCUGCUUUUGUUCUGAGUGCUUUUAUUUUUUUGCAUUUGCACAGACGCAAUUAAAGCUGCAACAUGCACGCUAUGCUGCUAGUAGGGCAAGCAGCCCACAUUUUAAUUUUUCUCUAUGGCCACGCCUAGUGCAACCACACUCGUGUCAACUUAUACUAUAUUAUAUACUAGAAGGACCACAUAUUGCACUUUAUUAGGUGCGUCGCCCUGUAGGGGCUGCUCAUGGCACGUGUCUUUCUCUGGCCUUGUUUACACUCUCCCGUGUGCAUUCCUUGAUUUCUACUCAAAGCGACGGCGAAAAGAUUUCGUACGGUCGUACUUCUUUCUCACCGCAAGCACAGGGGGCAACUGUACUUCGUCUUGCCAAUUCCGUGCAGCGAAGCCCAAGGCUAUAAUGGCUUGUGUCAGCCACUUGGUAUAAUGGAAGCCGAAUUGUGUGUUCCUAUAAAGGGAAAUGGAAGAAGGCUGGCCUAUUGCGCAAUAUGAUGGCACUUCCGUUCAGUCUUAGUAGCGCAAUGGCUGCUCAAGUAGGAGCCCUUCAUCUGGUUUUCUUUUCUGGUUGGUUGACACAACCCCUAAUGUUCGCUACACUGCGUGGACUUAGCGAGACGCAGAGCACAGGAUGUGCAUUCUUCACUUUUUUUUUUUCCGCCCCCUGUCUCUCAUCAUCGGAAACGCUUCUUGUUUUUACUCUUUUUUUUGUAUAGGGGGGGUCAGGGGACAAUGGACAAAUCAUCUCAUAAUCAAAAAGUGCCAUUUUUCAGCCUUCCAAAUAAGAGAAAAAAAAAGGUGAAAUGGGGAGAGGAAAAAGGAGCACUUCCUGGCAGUUUUUUUUUUUUUUACCUGGAUUUUUUUUAUGAGCAAGUGGCGGUGUUUGCAUUUUUUUUAAGAAAAGGUCUAUACAUACUAUAUAUAUAUAUUAACGUAUUUAAGGCUUUUUUUUAUUUCCUUGUCCUAUGUUUAUCGUGCUCGUCGCCACAGGUCUUUUUCGCAUGUUUAUACAGGGCAGCUCUUUUGCUGCAUGCGUGUGUGUUAUGAGGGCAGCAGCAGUUCAUAUGAGAAUCCUUCUACAAUACGCCUCGAAUUAUGCCACGGAAAUGCCCAUAUUGGUGAUGGUGGUACCUACAACUGCUAUACUGAAACAUGGUGUUUUUUUUUUUUAGGCUGUAAGACUUUUUCAAGCUGUCUUUUUUUUUUUUUUUUUACCGGGCCAUUUUCGAAAUAAAAUGUUUGAAAAUUGUAAA